rnacentral:rRNA from 1 species
UACGUAGGGGGCAAGCGUUGUCCGGAAUCAUUGGGCGUAAAGAGCGUGUAGGCGGCCCGAUAAGUCCGCUGUGAAAGUCCAGGGCUCAACCCUGGAAUGCCGGUGGAUACUGUCGGGCUCGAAUCCGGAAGAGGUGAGUGGAAUUCCUGGUGUAGCGGUGAAAUGCGCAGAUAUCAGAAGGAACAUCAGUGGCGAAGGCGGCUUCCUGGACCAAUACUGACGAUCAGGUGCGAAAGCGUGGGGAGCAAACAGG